CCUACGGGAGGCAGCAGUGGGGAAUAUUGCGCAAUGGGCGAAAGCCUGACGCAGCGACGCCGCGUGAGGGAUGAAGGUCUUCGGAUCGUAAACCUCUGUCAGCAGGGAAGAACGGUCACUGUGCUAAUCAGCAGUGAAUUGACGGUACCAGCAAAGGAAGCACCGGCUAACUCCGUGCCAGCAGCCGCGGUAAUCCGGAGGGUGCGAGCGUUAAUCGGAAUUACUGGGCGUAAAGCGCUCGUAGGCGGUAUGUCAAGUCAAGGGUGAAAUCCCCGCGCUCAACGUGGGAACUGCCUUUGAAACUGGCAAACUGGAGUGUGUGAGAGGAGAGUGGAAUUCCAGGUGUAGGGGUGAAAGCCGUAGAUAUCUGGAGGAACAUCAGUGGCGAAGGCGACUAUCUGGCACAUAACUGACGCUGAGGAGCGAAAGCGUGGGUAGCAAACAGGAUUAGAUACCCCUGUAGUC
rnacentral:rRNA from 1 species